rnacentral:lncRNA from 1 species
UUCAUCCCCUGGUGUGGGAGCCUGAACCCGUUCCUACAACAGAUGUUCCUGUUUGUUUGUGGGUUUGCUUUGCUCUGUGUUUGCUCCUCACGGCUGCCAGGAGGAUGUUUAUUGCGGAAGAUGGGAUGGAUGAGACCUCACCGCUGCAGCCAAAACUCUGGGUGCUUUUACAGCACUGUUCUCCACAGCGGCAAAUGGAAUACGGUGGGAACAGAGCCCAGGCCUGGGUUUGGCUCUGGGUUUGGGCACUGGGUUUGGGCACUGGGUUUGGGCAUUGGGUUUGGGCAGCCCAGGCCAUCCCCAGUGCAUGGGGAGGUGACAGCGUGGGGACAUUCCGGGUGCAGUGCGUGCCGCAUGGGGCAGUCCCACGUCCUGCAGGAAGCGUGGGCACGGCGCUGCGUGGGAGCUCAGUCUCUGUCUGCUGUGCACGGGAUUGCACAAACCAACGUGUUUCCCCUCCAGACUUUCACCACUGGGUAAUCACAGCCACGCUUCUCCCUGAGUGCAGCCUGGGGCAGGAUGGCAGGGAGCACAGCGACGCUUUUCCCGUAUUUUCGCUUUCAGGAAGCAGGGCUGUGGGAGAGCUGUUUGACAUCAGCAGCAGGCAGGGACGGACCCCUCAAACUGAGCAGGGGCAACGGGCUCCUGCGCACCAGGGGUGUUCCCAGAGCCUCCCAUCACUUCCAGCCUCCGGGUCUGUCUGGCAGCAGAGACUUCCAGCUGGGACACGCAGUGCAGAUUUUGGCUUUUCGCGCAUUCUGGGAGCCCCACAGAUUUGCAAACCGAGGGGUCUUUCGUAAGAGGAAGGAGGGGGAAGUUUUGCAAGCGCAGAAAACCUGCACAUGCCUUUUGAAAACAAGCCUGACCUCGGGGCACGGCCGCUGCUCCUCUGGCUGCUGCCUUCCCCUUUCUGCCUGGAAAGCUGCAGGAAGGGUCAUCCGUGCCACGAGCUGCAUGGGGACACACAGUAGGGCAUGGCUCCCCAUCCCCUAUGGCCACAGCUCUCAGAGCCACCCCAACCCAUGCAGAUAUCUCCAGAACGGUGUCGGGAUCGUAUCUGGACGUGUCCCACUGCUGGGCUGUGCUGCACAGCGUCCAGCCCUGCGCUCCUCCUGCGGUCUGCACGGCCUCGGUUACCUAAUAGGAAGGGGUGGGUGUGGGCGUGGGUGUGAUAACUGCGCGCAGAUAAUUUCACUUCAGGGUAAGUCAAUAAAUUACUAAAGAGCCUUUGAUUGUGCUCUGGGUGAUGCAUGUUGAUUCAAAAACCUAAGACAUUUAGCCUCAAUUAUGUCUAUUUGUAUGUCUUUCCUGCCUCCCUUCUGCAGGGCGCAGGGGAAAUAACCCUGCCUGUCUGCGUUCCCACACCUCUCCCACCUCGGCCGUGCUCCAACUUUCACUCCUGUGCUGAUAAUGAGCGGCAGAGAAUCAGUUCUUGGCGUGGCUCCGUGCUGCACCAGGAGGACACGGAGCAAACGCUGCGCCGUGGUGCCGGGAUGGGGCUCUGCAAACCCAGCUCCACACAGCACAUUUCCCAUGGCACGCAUGGGGAAGACCCAAAGGGGUGAAAGGCAAGGGCAGCACCGAGGCUGAAGCACGGCCCCACCGUUGGCAGCAGUGCCCCCGGGCCUGGGGCACAGUGGGAGCUGCAGUGCUGCUCUGCGGGCAUCAUUGCUUUCCCUCCAUCAGGAAUGCAAAAAUCCACUUCUGGAGUGGGAGCCUGGGGUCAAAGCCCUUCUGCAUGGGCUGAGGGCAGCCUGGUGCUGCUCGCGGGUAGGAGUGCAUAAGAAGCAGGCAUUGCUCUGCAAACCAGAGGGCAACAUUGCUGUUUCUGGACUGACUACGUACAUGUCGUUGCAUGCAAAUCUGACAGUGGCUUUUCAAGUGCAAAUCUCCCAUUGAAACAAAGAAUCCCCACACCGGAGCACACGUUGCAUGGAAUUACACUGCUGUUGCAACACCUCCCCAGAAGCUGCACCAAGCUCUUCCUUCCCCCAUGCCCUGUGCCUGCAGAGGUGCACUCAGCACUUUGUUUCUUUGUGCUCUGCCUUCUAUUUUUAGCUUGCACAAAGGAAGUACGCAUUACCCUGCGGUGAGCACUCACCCUCAGCAGACACUUCUGCUCUGCGGAGCUGCCACAUGACUCAGCCCAGGGAGCUGGCUGCUCAGGGCUGCGCAGCAGCAAAGGUCCUUACCUGAUGGGAUAAGACGGCAUGGGAGGGAA